rnacentral:ncRNA from 1 species
UCGAGCCGGAUGAUGAAAAAUUAUCAUGUCCGGUUCCUCCGGGGGGAUGGAUCUAUAAGAAUUCACCUAUCCCAAU